GUUUUAGAUAGAGGUGCGGUAAUUAAGAGUACUAUCGAAGAGUGAAGAUGUUGACGCGAUAGGAAAGGGAUUCUCGCCGAAGUCUAUAACUGAUACUUUAAGGUUAUAGAGCUGGUGUUAAGUAGAAGAUAUUUAACAUUGUCACAAUUUAUUAUUGUGGAGGGCUAUCAUUCCG
rfam:Turicibacter sp. H121, complete genome.